rnacentral:rRNA from 1 species
UACGGAGGGAGCUAGCGUUGUUCGGAAUUACUGGGCGUAAAGCGCACGUAGGCGGCUUUGCAAGUUAGAGGUGAAAGCCCGGGGCUCAACUCCGGAAUUGCCUUUAAAACUGCAUCGCUAGAGUUGUGGAGAGGUAAGUGGAAUUCCGAGUGUAGAGGUGAAAUUCGUAGAUAUUCGGAAGAACACCAGUGGCGAAGGCGACUUACUGGACACAUACUGACGCUGAGGUGCGAAAGCGUGGGGAGCAAACAGGG